rnacentral:rRNA from 1 species
CAGUAGCCGCGGUAAUACGUAGGGCGCGAGCGUUGUCCGGAAUUAUUGGGCGUAAAGAGCUUGUAGGCGGUUGGUCGCGUCUGCUGUGAAAGGCUGGGGCUUAACCCUGGUUUUGCAGUGGGUACGGGCUAACUAGAGUGCAGUAGGGGAGACUGGAAUUCCUGGUGUAGCGGUGGAAUGCGCAGAUAUCAGGAGGAACACCGAUGGCGAAGGCAGGUCUCUGGGCUGUAACUGACGCUGAGAAGCGAAGGCACGGGGAGCGAACAGGAUUAGAGACCCAGGUAGUCCCUGUCUCUUAUAC